ACCAUCCUUUUCUUGGGGUUGCACUACUGUCCAAUGAACAUUUAGUGAGGGCAGUACUGCUCAUGCCUUUACAAAAUAUUCCAGUUUAAACACGCAGAACUUUUUGUGAGU
ensembl:snRNA